UGCCAGUCGAGCGGUAGCACAGAGAGCUUGCUCUCGGGUGACGAGCGGCGGACGGGUGAGUAAUGUCUGGGAAACUGCCUGAUGGAGGGGGAUAACUACUGGAAACGGUAGCUAAUACCGCAUAACGUCGCAAGACCAAAGUGGGGGACCUUCGGGCCUCAUGCCAUCAGAUGUGCCCAGAUGGGAUUAGCUAGUAGGUGGGGUAAUGGCUCACCUAGGCGACGAUCCCUAGCUGGUCUGAGAGGAUGACCAGCCACACUGGAACUGAGACACGGUCCAGACUCCUACGGGAGGCAGCAGUGGGGAAUAUUGCACAAUGGGCGCAAGCCUGAUGCAGCCAUGCCGCGUGUAUGAAGAAGGCCUUCGGGUUGUAAAGUACUUUCAGCGAGGAGGAAGGCGUUAAGGUUAAUAACCUUGGCGAUUGACGUUACUCGCAGAAGAAGCACCGGCUAACUCCGUGCCAGCAGCCGCGGUAAUACGGAGGGUGCAAGCGUUAAUCGGAAUUACUGGGCGUAAAGCGCACGCAGGCGGUCUGUCAAGUCGGAUGUGAAAUCCCCGGGCUCAACCUGGGAACUGCAUUCGAAACUGGCAGGCUAGAGUCUUGUAGAGGGGGGGUAGAAUUCCAGGUGUAGCGGUUGAAAUGC
rnacentral:rRNA from 1 species